GACGAACGCUGGCGGCGUGCUUAACACAUGCAAGUCGAACGGAAAGGCCCUGCUUUUGUGGGGUGCUCGAGUGGCGAACGGGUGAGUAACACGUGAGUAACCUGCCCUUGACUUUGGGAUAACUUCAGGAAACUGGGGCUAAUACCGGAUAGGAGCUCCUGCUGCAUGGUGGGGGUUGGAAAGUUUCGGCGGUUGGGGAUGGACUCGCGGCUUAUCAGCUUGUUGGUGGGGUAGUGGCUUACCAAGGCUUUGACGGGUAGCCGGCGUGAGAGGGUGACCGGUCGAUGUGGGACUGAGCCGUGGCCCAGAGUCCAGCGGUGGGCGGCAGUGGAGAAGCUGGCACAGGGACGGGAGCGGUGGCGCGCCAGCGCCGUGCGGGCAGUGUCGUCGGCCGGUGUGUACGCCGCUUGCGCGUGGGACGAGGUGUGUGUGACGGUAAGGCGAAAAGAAGCACCGGCCAACUACGUGCCAGCGGCCGGGUUCACGGCCGACGGGCCCACCUCUGCCC
rnacentral:rRNA from 1 species